rnacentral:lncRNA from 1 species
CAGCAUGAAAUGAAGGCCAUGAAGUGAUGGUAAACCAUUUCUUGUGUCUGCCAUAGCAAAUCAAGUGCUUUCCUGUCCAUCUCUCUGAAGCAAUUUUGCCAGUUCCACAAAUGGAGUAGCCUAUUUUGACAAGAAACAAAUCAAGACACGAUGAAUCAGCAACAUUUUUAAAUGGCCUGCUUUAAAAUGCUUUACUUCUCGCUCAAGGAGACAAAUUUGCUCUUGCAGCCUAGUCCCAGAGGUUUCCCUUAGAAAGAGAGACAGCUCAGUUAUUUUCCUUCCUCAUCCAGAGGGGUGCCAAACCCAUAUUUCCAAUACACAGGUAUGUGCCCCAGACCUUAAACACCCAGCUGUGUUGGGUAGAGAAAACCUCCACCAUCCCAUGCAACCUUCAGCCAAAAGCCCAAAGGAGGGGUGUGGUGGUUUUACCGUACUGGGCAGCUAAACCCCACAACCGCUCUCU